rnacentral:rRNA from 1 species
AUUGAACGCUGGCGGCAGGCCUAACACAUGCAAGUCGAACGAGUGGCGGACGGGUGAGUAAUGUCUGGGAAACUCCCUGCUGGAGGGGGAUAACUUCUGGAAACGGUAGCUAAUACCGCAUACUAUCGGAUGUGCCCCGAUGGGAUUAGCUAGUAGGUGGGGUAAAGGCUACCCUAGGCGACGAUCCCUAGCUGGUCUGAGAGGAUGACGAGCCACACGGGAACUUAGACACGGUCCAGACGCCUACGUGAGGCAGCAGUGGGGAAUAUGGCACAAUGGGCGCAAGCCUGAUGCAGCCAUGCCGCGUGUAUGAAGAAGGCCUUCGGGUUGUAAAGUACUUUCAGCGGGGAGGCGUUACCCGCAGAAGAAGCACCGGCUAACUCCGUGCCAGCAGCCGCGGUAAUUC